UUUUUUUUUUUUCCGAAGUGCCCGGGGAUGAGUGCUAGAGGAGGCCCAGGCUGUGGCCACUACCACCUUUGUGUGCUCCCACCCACAUAUCAAUUGCUCUGUGAGGACAGAAGAAACAUAAGCUCUGAGAUAGUUUUCAGGUUUGUAGGCCUGGCCAAAUGCAGAUGAGACUCCUUGAAGCAAACUUAUCAUUAUUAUUAUUAUUAUUUUGGUCUUUUUAGGGCCUCACCUGUGGCAGGGGUUGAAUUGGAGCUGUAGCCACCAGCCUAUACCACAACCAUAGCAAUGCGGGAUUUGAGCCAUGUCUGCAACCUACACCACAGCUCAUGUCAACACCAGGUCCUUAACCCACCAAGCUAGGGAUCAAACCUCACCUCAUCCUCAUGCAUGCCAGUCAGAUUUGUAACCAUGAUGGGAACUCCUGAAGCAAACUUUAUAUUUGACACAAACUUUAUAUUUGUCCCUCUUUCAUGGGACAAAACCAAGAGCAUCAUAUUUGACACUGGAGAUGUCACUAAAAUGAGUCUGCUUUUUGGAGCCUACCUUGGGGUUGGGCUAAAGUAAGGCUCUCGGUUGGUAAUAGAACAGCAUUUGCAAAGGCACCCAGGUUCUACAUGUGGCCCAUCUCUGGGGAAAAAUUUAGUAGGCUCUGGAAAGAACCCUCUGACCAUAAAUCCCUUGCCAAUAUACCCUCUCCAGGGCCUAUAGCCUCUCCUGGGACUUACCAUCCUAUUGACCAGGAUGAAUCCUUCUGUCUUAUUUGGAUUCUCUCUGAAGCAAACCCCAAGGCAAGGAUUCUAGAACAAGUAGUUUGUAGGAAGUUGAUUCUGGUAAAUUCUAGUACAGGAGUGGGGGAGUAAGAUGGAAAAGGGAAGAGAAAGCAGUCAAUACUGCUUAUUAUUAUUAUCUACAUUAUUUAUUAUUAGUUAUAUUAUUUAUGCUUAUGUUUACAUUUAUAGCUAUUAUAUAGAUAUAUUAUGCAGAUAUUUAUACAACAUAUAUCUAUAAAUAUCAAAAACAGUGGUUCAAUCCCACCCUAUCCCACCUGGUAAAGGAAGAGAUUCAUUCUAGAGAAUGAGAUAGGGAAGGUGAGGUAGUAAAGGCAGAAAUGUCACUUUGCCAAUUCGACCCCUAGCCUGGGACCCUCCAUAUGCCAUGGGUGCAGGCCCAAAAAGACCAAAAUAAAUAAACAAAUGUCGCUUUGGUGCAGGAGAACAAGCACUAGACUAAGAGGAAGGAGUCCUGGGUUUUAGUCCCUGUACUACCACUGACUUAUCUGAUUCUCUUUCUGGGCCUCAGUUUCCUCAUCUGUGAACUAAACCCAUUUCAAUAUGGGUCUUUCAAUAUUCUGUACACAUACUGUAUUGGCCAAGGGAUCAGUAGUAGAAAGUAGAAACUGGAGUUCCCAUCGUGGCUCAGUGGAAAUGAAUCUGGCUAGCACCCGUGACUUUAACCCACUUGAUCCCUGGCCUCGCUCAGUGGGUUAAGGAUCUGGCAUUGCUAUGAGCUGUGGUGUAGGUCGCAGAUGCAGCUCAGAUCCUGCGGCUACAGCUCUGAUUCGACCCUUAGCCUGGGAACCUCUAUAUGCCGUGGAUGCGGCCCUAAAAAGGCAAAAAAGAAAAGAAAAAAAAGUGGAAGCUACUUGAACUUUUUAAGUAAAAAAUUAAGCAAAAAUGGAUUUAACGUAACAAUUUAUGCA
ensembl:lncRNA